rnacentral:misc_RNA from 1 species
AAACAUCAAUCCCCCCCGGUUUUGCGACUGUGGUCUGGUGGACUUGGAGAUGGGCCCUGCCGGGCGACCGGCUGGCCUGAUAGACGUUAGUGGGAAGUGUUUCCUCUGGCCUGACGUGAUAAGUUUCGUCUGACCUUGGAUGGCACAUGCCUGCUCAGAACCCCAUGCCUUUGGGCAGAUCUUUUAU